CCGUAUCGUGUUGAAACGCCGGUUCUCAUGCGAUCACCAAAGUUAAGAAAUGUCGACCCUGGCCAGUACCUCGAUGGGAGACUGCUUGGGAAUAUCAGGUGCUGUAAG